AUUGAACGCUGCCGGCAUGAUUUACACAUGCAAGUCGAACGGUAACAGGCCGCAAGGUGCUGAGGAGGGGCGAACGGGUGAGUAAUGCAUCGGAACGUGCCCAGUCGUGGGGGAUAACUACACGAAAGAGUAGCUAAUACCGCAUACGAUCUAUGGACAAAAGCGGUGGACCGCAAGGCCUCGCGCGAUUGGAGCGGUCGAUGUCAGAUUAGGUAGCUGGGGGGGUAAUGGCUCACCAAGCCAACGAUCUGGAGCUGGUCUGAGAGGACGACCAGCCGCACUGGGGUUGAGACACGGCCCAGACUCCGGCGGGAGGCAGCAGUGGGGAAGUUUGGACGAUGGGCGCAAGCCUGAUACAGCAAUGCCGCGUGCAGGAAGAAGGCCUUGGUGUUGUAAACUGCUUUUGUGCGGAAAGAAACGGCUCUGGUUAAUACCCGGGGCUACUGACGGUACCGUAAGAAUAAGCACCGGCUAACUACGUG
rnacentral:rRNA from 1 species